GUCGAUAUUGCUCUCUUUCGUCUGUUGUAUUUUGACAGUUGGAGCUGGAGAUACCGAUUUUGAUUACCUUUUGGAUCAAUACAUCCUAAUUUGCGGCAAUAUGCUAUGCAAUGUAACCAAAAAUUUUGCCCCAAAAAUUCCAGCCUACUUAUCGACUUGUACAGAAUGUUCUUGUGAUGAAAACUGUAUUUUCGAUGGAAGCUGCUGUCCAGAUAUUUUUUUCUCUCUCAAUCUUGAAUGCACAAACACUUUAAUCGUUUCACACAGUUACGAACCGGGUGACUUAUUCGAAGAUUCAUUUCUGAUGAGAGGGACUUGUCCCGAAGAUACAGAUUCUUCCUGGAAAGCUAAUUGUGAGGGUAACAAAACCCUAUCAGAAAAGAUACAAUUUCUACCCGUAACCUCUUCAGAAACUAUGAUUACAUACAAAAAUAAAUUUUGCACUCAAUGUAAUAAUGAAAGUAAAUUUGAGCAAUGGCUAUUUAAUUCAGUGUGUGGCGAAUUCGUAGAUUUUAAUUUCAUUUCAUCCUUAGAUGAAAUACUCAAAACAGCUAUAGACAAAAAAUGUAAAAUAAGCAGUAAGUUAGCUGGAUUGAAGACCGUUGGUUGCUUUAGAGUAUACGGAUACAACACCAUAAAGAUUUGUAAUGUAUCCGGUUCUUGGAUAACAUACAACAAAGAUAUUGAAUGGGCAUGUCUGAAUUACAAUAACAAAUUCCUUGACUUUAAGAAUGUUUUUUGUUACAUAUGUAACCCACCAGUAAAAGUUGAAGAAGUAAUAACAGAUUGUAACAUUACAGGGAAAUUAUUUUUGCAUGAAGAUUACCCAAAUGUCCAGACAGCUUGUAAAAAAUUUGGUGCAACAACAGCAACAUAUCCUUUCAAAAAUAUCUACUGUUACCUCUGCAAUUCAAUACCUUUUCAAAUUUACAUAAAUGACAGGCGUGUUUUUAUGUAUUUUGAUGCGAAUGUCAAUAUAGAGGAAAAGGUGGUAAACGGAAAAUUCUUUAAAUAUACUUUUGAAAUAGAUUUUUUUAACGCUGAAUUCAUAGAUAGUUAUUUAAAGACACAAGCAAAUUGGUCUUCCGAGACACAUUUGAUGAUAAAUAACCGAGUUAAUCUAACGGAAAUUUACACAUAUUAUUAUGCUAUGACAGGAAAUGGUCAUUUUUGUGUAAAUAUAUCAUCUAUUAUAAUGGCAGACGAAAGACAUAAUUGUGGUUGUUAUGAUGGUUGCCACUUUGCUUAUAAAAAGCCAUGCUGCAUCGAUGCUGAUUUCAAAUACUCAACCUCGUGUAUAGAUGGUUAUCUGGUGUAUGACGGAUGUGAAGAUAUAGCUAUGGAUUUUAAAAUUUUGUCAUACAAGUGUCAAAACAUAGAAGAGUCAUCUGAUUUGUUUUCAUCUAUUCCAGUUCAUGGUGAACAAUCAAAUGCAAACUACAAAAACAUUUACUGUGCCAUGUGUAGAAACCACAAAACUAGUUCUGAAGCUAAUCAAAAAGCUGACAGUUUCUCUAUUUUCCUGACGUUCAAACCAUGGAAAUUUACUUUAAUAUGUAAAAGUGUCAUUCCAAUAUAUUUCCAUGUUUUUUUGUCACACUUAUUUGAAACUCGAUUUUUAUCGAGUUGCAAAUUAACAUUAGUUCCAGAUUUUUGUCACAUACGAUGUCCUAUUAGACCGGAUUAUACCAAAAGAAAAACUAAUAUUUCAUGGGCUUGUCAGAACUUUGUGUCUACACCUACCAGCUUAGAAUUUUACAAUAGAAUUAACGAUUCAUCGCUUAAUAAGUAUAAAAAUAUAUUUUGUGCUUUGGAAGAUACGAUUUAUAAUAGAAUUCCAGCUCUGAAACAACAUUGCAAUUUCACUGGUCGGUGGAAUUUUAUUGACAAGCUUUUACCACAAAAAUGCAGGCAGCUUCCGCAAAUUGAUUUCCACCUUCCAUAUAAGAAUAUCUUUUGCAAAAUGUGUAAUGAAGAGUAAAAGGAAUAUAUCAAUAAUUAUGUGGGCUACGCUUCUUGUUGGCAAAUAUCUCCUACUCAUAGCUAUCUUUAUUUCCGAAGUUUGUUCUCAUUUUUAUCAUAUGAAAAACAAGCGGACAGCUUAGGUCAAGGAAGAUGCGAACAGAGCCAAGUGUAUGAUUCUAUAAAGGAUAAAUGUCGUGAUAUUGUGUGUUACCCUGGACGUGUAUUGAUUAAUGAGACGUGCAUACCACUUCUGCCAUACACUUCUAAUCUUGGUUAUAUACUUACAUUUGGAGUUCAUGUUCAAUCUGAAGCUCCGAUAAAAAAACAACAAUACUUUUUACAAAUAAUGAAAAAAGAAAUUCUGAUUCAACUAGGCAGACAGUUGAAUAGAACAAUUGUUCCCUUUCUUGAAAGAAUGAUUUUGAAAGUGAAUACCACGUGUUCAUCAGAUGUGAAUUUUAUUGGACCAUAUUUACAUAUAUCGGUAUUUUUGAAAUUAUUCGUUAACGUCGUUAUUAACAGAAAAGAAAUUGAAACAAAACUUCUACAGUUCCAAGAAAAACAAUUUUCAUUUGAGCAUUAUUGUUUUCGGCUUAAUAAAAUGCUAAAUUGUAUGAUAAAAUGCAAUGUAAAAUAUGAUAAUGGUUCACUUUAUCUGCCGAUCGAUGUGCCUUUCAGAAAGUUUGAUAUCACAAAAUGUUAUCUGGAGACGAAACGUAUGAUUCCUGAAUCUCAAAGAUAUAUUCACUCUCAUAUCAGUGCUUUGCUUGAGUGCCCACAGAUAGAGUUAGAUAAAACAGAGGUAACGAUCGAUGAAUACAACCUACUUAAUGUACCACAAUACAGUACCGUUUUAGAUUAUCACAAUUUCUAUUUAACCAGAUCAGAUCUGAACCCAAGGAUUUGUUUAAGAAGCUGUGCAUCAUAUUUGCUGACAUGACUGGUUCAUAGCCUGAUCUACAGAUUUACAGGAGUUUGAUAACACUGAAUGUAUUAUAAUACCUAGAUAUUAAUGUUUAUUAAAUCGCAUUGUAUUGUCUAAAAUUACAACAACAACAAAAAAUUCCAAAUGUAUUUCUUGAAUUGUUGUUUUGACAGUAGACAUUUUCUAGAAUGUAUAAUUUAGUAAACACGCCUUGUAAUCGAAAAAAAAUUAUGAAUCAUAAGUUGACAACGCUGCAGACUUGAACUAUUUACUGGUCUAGUACAGUAACUGUCAGAAUUUUGCCGUUUUUUCCCCCACUCCGUUAGGAAAUUAUCUUGUAUAAUAUAUAGCGUUUCCAAAAGUUGGUACGAUUUAAAUCAUUUUUAAGAAAAAGCGCAGGGACACCAGCGGGGAAGUUUAGUGUGAAAUUUUAUAGCUACAAGGACCCUUUAUCGUCAGUAAUGAAUCGUGCAACAAAAUUAUAGCUAUUUUCGCUUUAUCUGAUAUUCAUGUGACAUUUUGAUAUUGUGUAGCAAGAAGAGGAGACGGUCUGUAGAAUGGGCGAUCUACAUCGUCAUUUGGUCAAUAAAUGUAGAAGCCGUUUUCCAUUAAUGAAUAUGAACUUAUAAUAAAUUUAUGUUACUUGAAAUAAUAUUUUUUACGGUAUGUAAGUUAGAUAAUGCAUAUUUUAUUGUUUUACUUUCGUAUAACAAUUAACACCCUUUGUAGUGUUAGGAUUGCCCAAUGAAAGACACCACUACGUUCGGAAUGUCAUUGGAUCAAUCAUAACACCCCUCAACGACAAGCAACAUCUUAAAAUAUGCAUUAUCUAUGUAUCAUUAUUGUUUAUACCCCUCUACUACCCUAAAUAUUAAUGUGUAACAUUGUGGUGUGUAUGCAAUGGUGUAACUGUGUAAAUUAAAAAAAAAUACUUACAUGUAGAAUACUUAAUUUUUCAUAACUGCCUACAUCAUACAUGACAUUGUCGUUUAAUAAGCAUUACAUGUAUGUGUUUCAUAGCUUAUAUGUGA